AACGAACGCUGGCGGCGCGUCUUAAACAUGCAAGUCGAACGAUCUGUAGCAAUACAGGGAGUGGCGGACGGGUGAGGAACACGUAGGAAUCUACCUUGAAGAGCGGGACAACUUUGGGAAACCGGGGCUAAUACCGCAUAGUACAGGGAUGUUAAAGGGCUAGCAAUAGUCGCUUCGAGAUGAGCCUGCGGUCUAUCAGCUUGUUGGUGAGGUAAUGGCUCACCAAGGCUACGACGGAUAGCCGGUCUGAGAGGAUGAUCGGCCACACUGGCACUGAGACACGGGCCAGACUCCUACGGGAGGCAGCAGUUAAGAAUCUUGCGCAAUGGGGGAAACCCUGACGCAGCGACGCCGCGUGAAGGAUGAAGGCUU
rnacentral:rRNA from 1 species